UCAUACAUAUAAAACAAGUGUUACUUAUUUUAAAAUUUUUCAAAUAUCCAUUUAAAAUUUAUCAGUAAUAGGAUUUACAUUAAAAUUAUGAUAUUAAGACUAUACAUAACUGUUAUUCUUUACACAGAAUGUGCAAUUUCCUUAGACCCUUUAGAAUUGCAUUGUAAUUUCUCUAAACAUUUGUUUAAUUAUUUCAAAUACAGUGAAAAAUAUUUAUAUAACUUUGAAAAUAAUACAUCAGAAUCUGAAUUAAAAGAUUAUGGAACUGCAGUAAAAUCUCAUGGCGAAAUUGUUAUGAUAAUGUUAGAUUCAUUACGAGAAAUGGACGAGGAGUAUAUUGCAGGUGAUAUAAUGACUGUAAAUUUAUACUUGAACAACGUUUCAGGAUCAAUAAAUAUGAUUGCUAAAAAUAAAAAUGGUGAGUUCAGUAGAUCUGAAAGAUCACAGAAUUUGCUUGAAGGCUAUAAAAUUCUACAUCGUUCAAUUGUAGAAAGAUUGGAAUAUUUUUUAAAUGGAAAGUGUUUAAAUAUAACAGUUCAAAAAUAUUUCGUAUCCCUAGCUAAUUUUAAUGAACCAAUUAAAUACAACCCGGAAGUAUUGCUUAAAGAACUCGAAAAACUCAAUAGUAGAAUAAUUAGUAGUAUGAAUGAAUAUUUGACUUUAAGAGAUAUGUUUGUGGGAACAGAUAAUAACAUAUUAAAAAAAUAUUGUCAGAUAAUAAAGCAUUUGGCGAAAUCUUUUGAAAGAAAAUCAUUCUAUAUUUUUAAUCCUAAAAAUGUUUUGUUUUACGAUUUGAUGGAAAAUCGUCCUCGUUUUUCAGAGCUAGACUUUAUAUCAGGAUCUCAAUCAAGACAAUAUGCCAGAUAUAACAGUGACAAACAGCUAAAUGAUAUUUUAGACAUGGUUCGAUAUGCCCCGUUGAAAAUAAAGAACAAUAAUAAUUAUCAAAUAAUGUUAUACGAUGUGUUUCGAUUCAUCAAGUUCAAUUUUGACAUGGAAUAUGUAGAAGUCUUUAAAACAUUAUUAAAUAUAGCAACAGUUCAUCCAAUUAUAAUGAUUGUAUGUUUUUACUUUUCAUUAGUUAAAAAAUUUGUUUUUCUUCCUAAAUUUAAAAAUAAAGAAUUAAAAUUAGCAAUGAAAAAUCAAAUCAUUGAAAUGGGUCAACAUAUUGUUGAAAUUAUAAAAUCCUUUAUGGAUUGGAUUUAUUUAGAAAAAAUUUUACAAUUUACGUAGCAAGUCAUUUCAAUAAAAUAUAUGAACUUAUUUUAUCUUUCAAAGAACGCAAUAAUUUGUUUGUAAGUGACGAAAUGUAUUCGAUACCAAAAUAUUACUAUGACUUUAUAAGAAAAAGAAUGUUAAUUUGGAGUAUAAAUCAAUUACAGAAAGCAGAUAUCACAGAAGACAAUUUUAAUGACAUUUGUCAUUUAGCUGCUGAGGAAGUAAAUAAAAUUGCUUCAUUCGUUUUAGGGUUGAAAAAAUAUAAGUAUUGUUUUGAAUUUGCGAAUAAAUAUAUUCCUACGGAUUAUGUGGAUAAGCGAACAUUUAAUUGUAUUAUCAAGUAUAAUAUCCCAUUCGAUCAAUUAAGAAAAUAUGAAGACAUAUAUCAAACACUGUAUUUUCCUGGUGUCAAUACUAGUAAUAUAAAAAAAUAUUACAGUCAUAGUUCAAAUGAUGAAAACAAUGAGAUGAAUAAUGAUGAAAAUAAAGUUUUUAAUAAUGGAACUCAGUCAUAUUACACUCCUAAAUAUCUAGUUGAUUAUUUACUUUAUGAUUAAAUUAAUAAUUAAUUUCAUAAUAAUUUUAUUAAUA